UUUUUUUGCGGAGAGUUUGAUCCUGGCUCAGGAUGAACGCUGGCGGCGUGCUUAAUACAUGCAAGUCGAACGGAGUAUGUAGCAAUACGUACUUAGUGGCGAACGGGUGAGUAACGCGUUGGUGACCUGCCUCGAAGAGAG
rnacentral:rRNA from 1 species